AUUGAACGCUGGCGGCAGGCCUAACACAUGCAAGUCGAACGCGUGGCGGACGGGUGAGUAAUGUCUGGGAAACUGCGUGAUGGAGGGGGAUAACUACUGGAAACGGUAGCUAAUACCGCAUACCAUCAGAUGUGCCCAGAUGGGAUUAGCUAGUUGUUGGGGUAACGGCUCACAAAGGCGACGAUCCCUAGCUGGUCUGAGAGGAGGACCAGCCACACUGGAACUGAGCCACGGCCCAGACUCAUACGGGAGGCAGCAGUGGGGAAUAUUGGACAAUGGGCGCAAGCCUGAUGCAGCCAUGCCGCGUGUAUGAAGAGGGCCUUCGGGUUGUAAAGUACUGUCAGCGGGGAGGCGUUACCCGCAGAAGAAGCACCGGCUAACUCCGUGCCAGCCGCCGCGGUAAUAC
rnacentral:rRNA from 1 species